rnacentral:rRNA from 1 species
GACGAACGCUGGCGGCGUGCUUAACACAUGCAAGUCAAACGAUGAAGGGGAGCUUGCUCCUUGGAUUAGUGGCGAACGGGUGAGUAACACGUGAGUAACCUGCCCUGGACUCUGGGAUAACCCCGAGAAAUCGGAGCUAAUACCGGAUAGGACCUUGGACCGCAUGGUUUGGGGUGGAAAGUUUUUCGGUUUGGGAUGGACUCGCGGCCUAUCAGCUUGUUGGUGAGGUAAUGGCUCACCAAGGCGUCGACGGGUAGCCGGCCUGAGAGGGUGACCGGCCACACUGGGACUGAGACACGGCCCAGACUCCUACGGGAGGCAGCAGUGGGGAAUAUUGCACAAUGGGCGCAAGCCUGAUGCAGCAACGCCGCGUGCGGGAUGACGGCCUUCGGGUUGUAAACCGCUUUUAGUAGGGAAGAAGGGCUUCGGCUUGACGGUACCUGCAGAAAAAGGACCGGCUAACUACGUGCCAGCCGCCGCCGUAACAC